rnacentral:rRNA from 1 species
GAGUCGUAACAAGGUCUCCGUAGGUGAACCUGCGGAGGGAUCAUUACUGAGUGAGGGCCUUCGGGCUCGACCUCCAACCCUUUGUGAACACAACUUGUUGCUUCGGGGGCGACCCUGCCGUUUCGACGGCGAGCGCCCCCGGAGGCCUUCAAACACUGCAUCUUUACGUCGGAGUUUAAGUAAAUUAAACAAAACUUUCAACAACGGAUCUCUUGGUUCUGGCAUCGAUGAAGAACGCAGCGAAAUGCGAUAAGUAAUGUGAAUUGCAGAAUUCAGUGAAUCAUCGAAUCUUUGAACGCACAUUGCGCCCCUUGGUAUUCCGAGGGGCAUGCCUGUUCGAGCGUCAUUUCACCACUCAAGCCUCGCUUGGUAUUGGGCGCCGCGGUGUUCCGCGCGCCUCAAAGUCUCCGGCUGAGCUGUCCGUCUCUAACCGUUGUGAUUUCAUUAAUCGCUUCGGAGCGCGGGCGGUCGCGGCCGUUAAAUCUUUUAUAAGGUUGACCUCGGAUCAGGUAGGGAUACCCGCUGAACUUAAGCAUAUCAAUAAC